GACGAACGCUGGCGGCGUGCCUAAUACAUGCAAGUUGAGCGAUGAAGCUUGGUGCUUGCCCCAAUUUGAAGAGCAGCGAACGGGUGAGUAACGCGUGGGGAAUCUGCCUUUGAGCGGGGGACAACAUUUGGAAACGAAUGCUAAUACCGCAUAACAACUUUAAACAUAAGUUUUAAGUUUGAAAGAUGCAAUUGCAUCACUCAAAGAUGAUCCCGCGUUGUAUUAGCUAGUUGGUGAGGUAAAGGCUCACCAAGGCGAUGAUACAUAGCCGACCUGAGAGGGUGAUCGGCCACAUUGGGACGGAGACACGGCCCAAACUCCUACGGGAGGCAGCAGUAGGGAAUCUUCGGCAAUGGACGAAAGUCUGACCGAGCAACGCCGCGUGAGUGAAGAAGGUUUUCGGAUCGUAAAACUCUGUUGGUAGAGAAGAACGUUGGUGAGAGUGGAAAGCUCAUCAAGUGACGGUAACUACCCAGAAAGGGACGGCUAACUACGUG
rnacentral:rRNA from 1 species